rnacentral:rRNA from 1 species
UUUUAUGGAGAGUUUGAUCCUGGCUCAGGACGAACGCUGGCGGCGUGCCUAAUACAUGCAAGUCGAGCGAACAGAUAAGGAGCUUGCUCCUUUGACGUUAGCGGCGGACGGGUGAGUAACACGUGGGCAACCUACCUUAUAGUUUGGGAUAACUCCGGGAAAC